rnacentral:ncRNA from 1 species
ACACUAGCGUUGAUGAGGAGAAGUAAAUAAUUGAUGCUUUACAGAGAGAACCGUCACCGGCUGCGAACGGUUUAAGCCGCUCAAUUAUUGAAAUGCCCCUCUGAGUCCGCUGCUGAAAGGUAUACGAGUAAGCAGCGGCGGGAACACCCGUUAUCAGUUUAGAGUUGAAUAAACGGACAGUAGUCUGUUUUUCAAACAGAGUGGAACCGCGUCGAUAAAACGCCUCUGUC